AGAGUUUGAUCAUGGCUCAGGACGAACGCUGGCGGCGUGCUUAAUACAUGCAAGUCGAGCGAGGUUACUGCGACAGAUUCCUUCGGGGUGAAGUUGCUUUAACCUAGCGGCGGACGGGUGAGUAACGCGUGGGUAACCUACCCUAAAGUUCGGGAUAACAGCGGGAAACCGCUGCUAAUACCGGAUGCCUUUACCGUGUGGCAUCACAAGGUAAAGAAAGGUGACGCUUUAGGAUGGGCCCGCGUCCCAUUAGCUAGUUGGUGAGGUAACAGCUUACCAAGGCGACGAUGGGUAGCCGGCCUGAGAGGGUGGACGGCCACACUGGGACUGAGACACGGCCCAGACUCCUACGGGAGGCAGCAGUAGGGAAUAUUGCGCAAUGGACGGAAGUCUGACGCAGCGACGCCGCGUGAGCGAUGAAGGCCUUCGGGUUGUAAAGCUCUGUCCUUGGGGAAGAAGGUCUUCGGACUUGACGGUACCCAAGAAGAAAGCCCCGGCUAACUACGUGCCAGCAGCCGCGGUAAUACGUAGGUGGCGAGCGUUAUCCGGAUUUACUGGGUGUAAAGGGCGCGCAGGCGGCCCUGGAAGUCAGAUGUGAAAGAUCAAGGCUUAACUUUGACAGGUCAUCUGAAACUUUGGGGCUUGAGUAUCAGAGGGGAAAGUGGAAUUCCUAG
rnacentral:rRNA from 1 species